rnacentral:rRNA from 1 species
GAUCAUGGCUCAGAUUGAACGCUGGCGGCAGGCCUAACACAUGCAAGUCGAACGGUAACAGGAAGAAGCUUGCUUCUUUGCUUACGAGUGGCGGACGGGUGAGUAAUGUCUGGGAAACUGCCUGAUGGAGGGGGAUAACUACUGGAAACGGUAGCUAAUACCGCAUAACGUCGCAAGACCAAAGAGGGGGGACCUUCGGGCCUCUUGCCAUCGGAUGUGCCCAGAUGGGAUUAGCUUGUUGGUGGGG